UCCCGAAGAGAUUGGGAGUGCUCGAAAGAGAACCUGCACACAGGUGCUGCAUGGCUGUCGUCAGCUCGUGUCGUGAGAUGUUGGGUUAAGUCCCGCAACGAGCGCAACCCUUGCCAUUAGUUGCUACGAAAGGGCACUCUAAUGGGACUGCCGGUGACAAACCGGAGGAAGGUGGGGAUGACGUCAAGUCCUCAUGGCCCUUAUAGGUGGGGCUACACACGUCAUACAAUGGCCGGUACAGAGGGUAGCCAACCCGCGAGGGGGAGCCAAUCCCACAAAGCCGGUCGUAGUCCGGAUCGCAGUCUGCAACUCGACUGCGUGAAGUCGGAAUCGCUAGUAAUCGCGGAUCAGCAUGUCGCGGUGAAUACGUUCCCGGGUCUU
rnacentral:rRNA from 1 species